rnacentral:ncRNA from 2 species
GAUACACCCAGCCCCGCCGGUUAAGGGAACGCGGUUGAAAUCCGCGGCUGCUCCCGCAGCUGUAAGCGGCGAGUGCGUUGGCCAAGACCACUGGAGCCAUGCUCCGGGAAGGGGCCGGCGCGCAUCGACCCGCAAAGCCAGAAGACCUGCCGGCGUGAACGCCUUUGG